UACAGAGGUCUCAAGCGUUGUUCGGAUUCAUUGGGCGUAAAGGGUGCGUAGGCGGCGCGGUAAGUCACCUGUGAAAUCUCCUGGCUCAACUGGGAGUCUGCAGGCGAAACUGCCGUGCUGGAGUGUGGGAGAGGUGAGUGGAAUUCCCGGUGUAGCGGUGAAAUGCGUAGAUAUGCGGAGGAACACCGAUGGCGAAGGCAAUCCCCUGGACCUGUACUGACGCUCAUGCACGAAAGGCGUGGGGAGCAAACAGG
rnacentral:rRNA from 1 species